rnacentral:rRNA from 1 species
UACGUAGGGUGCAAGCGUUGUCCGGAAGUAUUGGGCGUAAAGAGCUUGUAGGCGGUCUGUCGCGUCUGCUGUGAAAAUCCGGGGCUCAACCCCGGACUUGCAGUGGGUACGGGCAGACUAGAGUGUGGUAGGGGAGACUGGAAUUCCUGGUGUAGCGGUGAAAUGCGCAGAUAUCAGGAGGAACACCGAUGGCGAAGGCAGGUCUCUGGGCCACUACUGACGCUGAGAAGCGAAAGCAUGGGGAGCGAACAGG